rnacentral:tRNA from 1 species
GGGCCAUUAGCUCAGGAGGCAGAGCACCUGACUUUUAAUCAGGGUGUCCGGCGUUCGAGUCGCCGAUGG